rnacentral:rRNA from 1 species
GGUCCAGCCUGCCCAGUGAUAAUUCAUUCAACGGCCGCGUAAUUUAAAGCGCGCAAAGGUAGCGUAAUCACUUGUUCUUUAAAUGAGGACUCGAAUCAACGGCACCACGAGGGCUAUACUGUCUCCUUCCCCCAAUCAGUGAAACUAAUCCCCCUGUGAAAAAGCAGGGAUAUCCCUAUAAGACGAGAAGACCCCAUGGAGCUUUAAACAUGACAACAUCUUUAAAAUUUCAUACACCCACCUUAUUAACAUGAAAGCAUUGUGCGUUAGUUUUAGGUUGGGGCGACCGCGGAGUAUAAGAAAACCUCCACAACGAAAGGGAAUAAGCCCUUACUUGAGAAAAACAUUUCUACAAAUUAUUAAUAUAACGUUUAAUGACCCGAUUAUCGAUUAACGAACCAAGUUACCCUGGGGAUAACAGCGCAAUCCAUUUUGAGAGCUCAUAUUGACAAAUGGGUUUACGACCUCGAUGUUGGAUCA